GUAGUCGUGACGGCAACGUUAUUCCUCCGGCCCUUCAUCUAUCAACAACGCCCAACGAAACCCCAGGAUAAGUCCUAGUAAACCGUGGUUCUGACCCUAUUUCACGUAGAGUGUGUGGAGUGCAGUGGGUGAGUCCUUGUCUUUGCUGUGCGUGUGUACACUUGAAAUCUUGCAGUGUUAUGCUGUGGUUGUGUUGUCAGUAGCCACCCUAGACUGGAUGAGUCGUGGGGGAGACCAGUGACCGUUGAGGCUGGUGAAGCGCCAUUUUCAUCUAUAUGCCAUUUUGCGACCCCUGCAUGGAGACCCAAAUGUAACGUCCUGUCUAGACCCUUUCAGAAUACCCUGGCUCUGUGGAAGCGGUGGUGAAGAAUACACGUAAGCAAGACUGGUGUGAGUAAAAGCCAAAAUUAUACCUAUAUGCAAGGAGGAAGUUUUACUGUUGCAAAUUAGCUGUGUGGAUUUACUUUACCUGUUGUGGAGCCUCUUCAAAGGUUCACCCCGGUCCAGAUCCCUUAAACUGCAAAUAGAAGAGAGGAGAGGGAAGCGUUCGGCCCGGUGCGACAGUGUUUAACUUUCCCCGACGCACAGGAAAUCCCUGUGGAGGCCUGCGCUACGACGAUUUACUACUCCAGUGCCAUUGGAGUUCUGUGUCGCGGGUUGGCGCUCACCUCGGAGUGUGCAGAAGGGGAGGCGCCGCCCGAGCACCCUGUACGAAGAGAUCGGAGGAACAAGUCAUUUAUCAGCCAGUCGUAUGGACCCAAGUAACAGGUAGCCACUCUCACCGGAUCGAUUAUUCAUUGAGUGUUUCACUCUGCCUUCAGGAGAAAAGAAGGGCGCCACGAGUCAACAAAAGCCCAAAGAGGAGGACUAAGGGUUUUCGAAAGGGACAGCGGAGCUUCGUCCCCCUCUUCCCUCUGUGGACAUACUAACCCUCGCCGCAUAGUCCUCUCCGGCCCCUUUCUCCUCUUGCUGAACAGAGACGAUAAUUUUAAGAUUUACCUCCCCCUCCCUGAAUUAUUUUAAUUAAUUUAAAUAAAGUUGUUUUAAUAUUA